UGGGCCCCACCAGGAGAAGAGGCUGGCCCAGUGGGUACAUACUGGGGUCGCAGGGCCCCCUGCGACCCGGUAUGUACACCACUGAAUGUGGGGCCCGGACGACCUGAGCAGUCCGGGCCCCCCAGGACCGCCGGGCCCAUGACAACCGUUACGGUUGUCAUGCCCUGAUGGCGGCCCUGAUGAGGGUCAAAUGGUUGUGUCCAUCAUGUCCAAUAAGGCCCGGAAUUUUUCCCCAUCUAUAGGAAGGCGUUUCUGUUUAGUGUGGUGAUUUGAUUUAUUAAUGCCUUUCAGUAUGUUCUGUAUAGGGUAAGAAGUUAGAAAAGAAGCAUGAUUUGGUAUAGUGGUCAUGAUGUGAUUUUGUACUCCUGAUAGAUAGAGUUUGAUUGUGUUGUAUGACAUUUUGAUAUGAAGGUGGCGAAAUGCGGCAAAUGCUACCAUGGUUUGGAUCAAAUAAUUGUGAAUUUUAAACUCUAAAGUGAACCGCUUAAAAAUGACCAUAGCUCUAUUAUAGUUUUUUUGUGUGUUUACGAAUAAUGCUGCCCGCGCCAGUUUCCUGCCAUGUGCC